AUUGAACGCUGGCGGCAGGCUUAACACAUGCAAGUCGAGCGGGGUGAUGGUGCUUGCACUAUCACUUAGCGGCGGACGGGUGAGUAAUGCUUAGGAAUCUGCCUAUUAGGGGGGGACAACAUCUCGAAAGGGAUGCUAAUACCGCAUACGUCCUACGGGAGAAAGCAGGGGAUCACUUGUGACCUUGCGCUAAUAGAUGAGCCUAAGUCGGAUUAGCUAGUUGGUGGGGUAAAGGCCUACCAAGGCGACGAUCUGUAGCGGGUCUGAGAGGAUGAUCCGCCACACUGGGGCUGAGACACGGCCCAGACUCCUACGGGAGGCAGCAGUGGGGAAUAUUGGACAAUGGGGGGAACCCUGAUCCAGCCAUGCCGCGUGUGUGAAGAAGGCCUUAUGGUUGUAAAGCACUUUAAGCGAGGAGGAGGCUCUUUUGGUUAAUACCCAGAAUGAGUGGACGUUACUCGCAGAAUAAGCACCGGCUAACUCUGUGCCAGCCGCCGCAGUAAGAC
rnacentral:rRNA from 1 species